rnacentral:rRNA from 1 species
UACGUAGGGGGCUAGCGUUGCUCGGAAUCACUGGGCGUAAAGGGUGCGUAGGCGGGUCUUUUAAGUCAGGGGUGAAAUCCUGGAGCUCAACUCCAGAACUGCCUUUGAUACUGAAGAUCUUGAGUUCGGGAGAGGUGAGUGGAACUCCGAGUGUAGAGGUGAAAUUCGUAGAUAUUCGGAAGAACACCAGUGACGAAGGCGGCUCACUGGCCCGGUACUGACGCUGAGGUGCGAAAGCGUGGGGAGCAAACAGG